AUUGGUAGAAAGAUCGCCAAAAAAUGUGGUGGGUUGCCCAUAGCUGCUAAAACGCUCGGUGGAAUUUUGCGUUCAAAGGUAGAUGCUAAAGAGUGGAGUACAAUUCUAAAUAGUGACAUAUGGAACUUACCAAAUGAUAAUAUUUUACCUGCUUUGCGUCUAAGUUAUCAAUAUCUUCCCUCACAUUUGAAAAGAUGUUUUGCCUAUUGCUCAAUUUUUCCGAAGGAUUUUUCACUUGACAAGAAGGAAUUGAUUUUGUUAUGGAUGGCAGAAGGCUUCCUAGAGCAUUCUCAGUGUAAUAAAACAGCUGAGGAAGUAGGUCAUGACUACUUUAUUGAAUUGUUAUCCAGGUCCUUAAUUCAACAAUCAAAUGAUGAUGGAAAAGAAAAAUUUGUUAUGCACGACCUUGUCAAUGAUUUAGCCUUAGUGGUGUCAGGAACAAGUUGCUUCAGGCUUGAAUGUGGUGGUAACAUGUCUAAAAAUGUUCGUCAUUUUUCAUAUAAUCAAGGAGUGUAUGACUUUCUCAAGAAGUUUGAAGUUUGAGGUUCUCUAUCAGUAGUAAGUAGUAACUUAAGAAAAUGACAUAAUUAAAAGUAAUCACAUGUGUCAGUGUCGUGUCGGUGCUACAAAGCUUAAAUAGACUUUAGUUUACAAAUUAUAAUAAAACAGUACAUAGAAAUUCAUUUUAGUCUUUGUAGCUCAUAUUAAAGGGACUAAAGAGUUAGGCUUGUCACAUCUACAUUGUUGAACCAGAUGAAACCGUUAGAUUUGUCACAUUUACAUUGUCAACUUGAAAUAUUUAGAAAUGUUAUAAACUUGUUUUUAAAUUGAUUACGAGUAAUAAAGAAAAAUUAACAUUUACUCAGGUUGUACUUUUUCCUCUGUAUAGUUCAAUUUUAUUUUAAUAUAUACACACUAUUUAAUUCAACAAAGGUAAUACACUUUCUUACUUCGCGCAGGUAAUUCAUGAUGCCGGUGGAUACUUCCUCACGGAAACUGUCAAAAUACUGUUUUUGUCGAUUGAGAAACGUACGUAUGCUGAUAGGAUGGCAACGAGGGAAAGUCUCAGGAAUAAUUUUACCAUUUUUUUUUGAACAAUAAUACUAAAUUUAAGAUUGAAAUAGGCAUAAUUAAUAAAAAAAAAAUUAAAACAUGACAGAACCCUCCAAACGCGACAUUUAAUAUGAGUUAGAGGGACAUAUGUCUCUGUUGGAACAAAAUUGGUUUGUACAAUUCCUCUAGAGAUUUGAUAAUAACAAAGUAUUGAAGAACAAUUAGAUAUGUUAAUAUAUGUUCAAGUGUGCAGGACCAAAGAUUAAAUUUAACAAAAUCUGAACAUAAAUAAGAGCAUCAGAAGCACAAAAUAAACUAAAAGACCAAGGUUGAUGAUCUAAAAAAAGGCAAUCAGAAGUCAACAUCUUGGAUCAGAAGAAAGAAAGUCACGAAGAAGUUGAAGAUCUACAUCAGAUUAUGAAGAGCAUCAGACUCUGAAGUACAGAAGAUCCUGAGGGACCCAAAAGCCACGUCAGAUUUAUCCUCUUUUGUAGAUGUCUCUAUAAAGGCACUGAUAGUACAAUUUGUCUUCUUCUGACCACGUGUAGAAACAAACAAAGAACUCCAAGGACAAAAAGAAUGAACGGAUAAUUUCAGUUUCAACAAAGAAAUUUCAAAUGUCUAAUCAAUUGCAUUAUCCAUAUCAGGAAAUGGCCCAAUGUCCUUGAUUUGAAACUUCUCAACGAUUCUUAAUGCGUUGACACUCUUCUCCAACGUCUCUCAAAUCCUUGCAUGUGUAAGGAGCUGAAGACUUGAAGAACAAACAAUAAGACUCUUCUAUUUUUAUUGUGCCUUACUCUGUACAAAUUAAAAAGAACAUAGAACACUUAAGAAUUUUUUUAUCGAAGUUUGUAUCUUAGAAAUUCUAAGUAUUAGAGUUUGUUCUGUUUUGUAUUGUUUACAUCUCUGAUUGUAUAUCAAAUGUAAGAAUAAAUCUGUUUAUUUGUAAACUCUUAGAAGUCUUUUUCAGUUGUGAUUAAGCAUUGAAAGCCUCUUGCUUUUGUGCUUGAGCAUUGGAAGUCUCUUGGCUGUGUCCUUGAGCAUUUGUAACCUUGUUUGACUAUAUGAAAUCCCUUGGAAGUGCAAGGGGACUAGACUCCUCUUGGAUUGUUUGAGGAACCAGUAUAAUUGUUUGUGUCUGUUUUCCCUCUCUCUAUUAUCUUACUUCACUGCAAGCAGUUUCGGAGUACUCCUCAGUUUCUGAACCUAACUCAGGCUGUGAAUUCAUUCAGACUCUGAGAACUGCAAACACUUAGAAAAGUUGAAAAAACCAAUACAAUUCAACCCCCCUCCUCUUGUGUUUUUCUCACCUUCGGUUGGUAUCAAAGUACGGUUUGUGCUCAACCACUUAACCGUGCCACAGUUAAAGAUUCAUAGAGAAAAACAUGUCUACUGAUGAGAGUGGUUUUGGUCCUACUGUUUCAGGCAGAAAUAACAACGCUACUAUCAACUAUGAUUACAACACCACUAAUGAAAAGCACAACUUUUCAGUAAAACCUCCAUCUUUCAGUGGAGAAAUUACGCAAAUUUUAUGGUGAAAAAGAAAAAUGUACGGUUACAUCAUUGGUGUUGAAUGAACCAUGGGACAUAAUUGAAGACGGUGUUACACUUGUUGUUGAUACAGAACGAAAAGUGACAGACAGGAAAAGCUUGACUGCUACUCAAAAGAAAGAAUACAAAAAGCAUCAUAGAGUACGAGGGAUUCUGGUCGAUGCAAUACCUCAUUCAGAGUAUAUCAAGAGCUUGGAUAAAUCUACUACAAAAGCUAAUUUUUUAGUCACUGUUUUUUACCUAUUAGGGAAACCAGCAAGUAAAAGAGGCUAAGGCUAACCAGUUAGUUCAUCAGUAUGAGCUUUUUAAAAUGAAGAAAGAUGAAGAUAUUAAAACCAUGUAUUCAAGGUUUCUAAUUUUUGUAUCUGGCCUUUAGGUUUUGAGCAAAAAGUUAUAAUGUACCUGAUCAUGUCAAGAAGAUUCUUAGGACCCUCCUGCCAUGUUUAGACCAAAGGUUACAAGCAUUCACGAAGCAAGGGAUUUGAACACAUUGAGCUUGGAGAAUCUGAUAAGCUCCCUCAAAUAUCAUGAGAUUGAGCUUGUUGGAGAUGAACCUGCUAAGAAAUCGAAGUCUAUUUCUUUGACAUCCAAGGAAAAAUCUGCCAAAACUCUAAAGACUGCUGAGUCAGAAGAAGAAGUUCUUGAUGGAGAUUCCGAAGAUGAUUCAAGUCUUGAAAAGAUGCCUUAUUUAACCAAAAUAUUGUAUUAGUUGACCAAGAAGAUAAGGAUACUAGGUAAAAGAAGUGGGUUAAAAGAAUCAAGUUUCAAGAACAGGAAGGAAGAACGUAAGGGUUGCUUCCGCUGCAAGAAACUUGGUCAUUUCAUUGCUGACUGUCUAGAGUUACAGAAAGACAAGUGAAAGAAGGAGAGCUCCAGGAAAGAAAGUUACAGGAGAAAACUUUAGAAGAGUCUUAUGGCAACAUGGGACAAAUUUGAUGAAGAAUUAGAACGUAAAAAGGAAGAAGAUGAAGAAGCUAAUCUGACCCUAAUGGCCACUACAACUUCUGAUGCAAAAUCUGGUUCAAACUCUGAUGAUGAUGAGGUAUUUCUAAACUAACUCAUGAACAAUUUGUUGACACUGUCAAAGAACUUGUAGGACGUUGUCUAGAAAAAUCAAAAGCUUUACAAACUUUAAAGAAAAUAUUUGAUUUGUUGACAGAAGAAUCUAAGCUCAUGGAACAUCAAGCCAAAAGUCUGUUAAUCCAAAAUGAAAGAUCUCAAAGUGAGAAAUAAGUUUUUGGAAGAAAGUCAAUUUUAAAACAUCAAGAAAGUUGACAGACCUUUGACUAAACAUGAUAAUGCUCUUGAAGAGUUUAUCAUGAUUUAUUUGUUUCCACGAUUUAUUUGUUUUAAUAAUUACUAAUUGGUAUGCAUUAUUGAAGAAAAAAUGAACAUCUAAAAAAUAUAAACAAAAGAAAAUUGUAUGUGUCCUUGUCCUUCGAGUAUUGAUCAAUUUCAGUCUGGCAUCACAAUAAACAUAGUAGUUUGACAUCAAAACAGUCUUGCCUCAGAAAUUACACACAAUGAUAGUUUACUUUCCUAAUUACAAAAUAAACAGAAAAAUUAAAGUGAAAAAGGAAUUUUUUUAAAACGAAUAACAAUAAAUUUCUAUUUGAAAAAUUCAUCAAAACAAUCUUGCUCAAGAAAAUAAGACAACCAAUAGUUUGAUAUCUCAAGUCACAUUAAUUCGUUGAAAUCAAUAGCGGUGGAUGAGUUGCUUGUAUGCGUCCUUGUUCUUCGAGUAAUGAUCAAUUUCAGUCUUGCAUCACAAGUAACAUAUUAAUGAAACAUCAGAAUUAUUAGUUUGGUUGAGAGAACCACGUAAAGAUGAAAGGGGGUGGUGGAAAAAUUUAGGACUUUAUACAUAAAAUCUGGAGGAUUUUUAAGGAACUUAAUUACCUUAUAGAAAAUUGAUUUAGUAAAAAAAAAAUUAAAGACAAACUCUAGUUUUUUUAUUUAUUCAAUGGAUGAGAAUCAUAUGACUCAUAAUGAACCUUCACUAAAUAGACUUAGACACACGUACAACUUAAAAUAUGAGUAGUCUGAUUUUCAUUACGAUCAAGAAGUGCAAUUAUUUGAUAGUGCCCAAAAAUCUACCCAAGUGUUAAAAGCAACAUACAAAUUUAAUUUCAUCUAAGUCAAAAUAUGACGUACAAAAAAACAAGUCAAAAUAUUUACCUUUCCAAUUAAUUCUAUGAUAGUUAGCAACUUCUGACCGAUAAAUUCAUCAAAGAAAUCAGUCUUAUGGAGAGCUUCCAAAGAUUCUGAGAGUGAUUUUGGCAAUCUCUGAAGGUUUUCUAGAUUUGGAUCUGUGUCUGUUUCAUACAUAAAAUAUGAAGUUCAUUAUUCAAUUAAAUAUUUUAUAAAAAUUCUUAAAUUGUAAGAACCAAAAAAAUAUUAUGCAAUCAUAAUACAAAUCAGCAAAAGAACCAUACAAGAACAGUGCCGACGAAAAUGGUAGCAGAUUAGAAAGGGAAAAAGACUUACAGUUUAUAUUAUCUUACCAAUAGGCUCUGGAAGAGAAAGAUGUCGACGAAGGCUAUAACACCCUAAAUCCCGACGUUGAUUUUAAUUAAUAAUAAGUACAAAUAUUAAGAUAUAAAGGAUGUUACACUUCUUCAUUAUCCAUCAUACCAUAAAUAAGUAAAUGGGCGUCUAACUUAACAAUAGAAAAUGCUUAAAAUAAAACUUCAUAAUUCAAAGACAUCAAAUUGUUCAUCGGCAUAUGUUGAUAAAUAACAUAAAAAGUCAUGGUCCUUUAACAUCAUAACAUAAAGACGUUCAACGUUUAACCCCAAUCCCAAGUGUUACAGAUCAGAGCACACAUUUAUUCGACUACUCAUUGAUAAAGAUAAAUAGCUACGGAGGUAUAUUCCCAUUGCCACCUUCUAAGCGUCCCGCAAGGCUAAAUCUCCUCUUCCUGUGUAUCUGUACCCCAGGAGUACAGACACCAAACACACAAACAACAUAAAAGGGUGAGAAUUCACAUCAUAACAUACUUUAGGAUUCAUAAGAAAUAAAUUGCAUCAUCACAUUAUCAUAGUCACAUCAUCAUUUUAUCAUCAGUCAUUCCACAUAAUAUUUACACCAUUCACUUCAUAUAGUCAUCAAAACUCAUACGUCAUAUGACACACAAAAAUGAACGUUUCACAUCAAUUCACAUCAUUCACACAUACCGCAUUUUCACCUAUUUACGACUUAUAUGCAACAUGGUUCAUUCCUAGACCUACAUGCAUGCCGGUACCGGAUCCUAUCGUCAUAAUAAUGUAAGUCAGAGGUGUGUUACGGAACUUACAUUCGUCAUUCGUCAUUCGUCAUUAUGCAGUAUGAUAUGAUGCAUGUGGACUCACCAAAACAUCAUUUAGAAGACAUAUAAACAACACGUCAUCUUUACGUCGUAAUUACCCGUCAUAUUGCUUAUUAUUAGAAAACAAGAACUUCAUUCAUCAUACGUCAUUUUACAUCAUUUGCACUUAAUAAUCGCAACUUCAUCUUACUUCAUUAUCUUACGUCAUUAGCAACUCAUCAUCAACUUACACCAUAUAUUCGUCUACUUAAGUCUAAGUCAUCAUCUUGUCAUGAUCUUCUAGUUCAUUACGUCCUUGAGAUCCUAUCCUCAUAUAUUAAUUCCACAUUGUUAUCGUCUAUGCCCUAGAAUUCCAUCUUCGUAUUCUUGGUUUACUAUAGUUCAUGCUGUUUCUAAAUAAACUUAUCUUCACCUUUACUCUUCUCCAACUCAUUUGACAACCAUCUUAUUUUAAAUACAUUAUAGCAAGAGAAACUACCCUAUAACCCUUAAUUAAAUCCCUCUCAUUUUGGUUUAUUGAUUUGGGGCCUUACUAUACGUCUUAGGGACCCUUUGGAGUCAUAAAAAGAGUUUAAAAAUUAAUUUAAGUCCACACUGCAUCGUGGCACGUUGAAUUCCAAUCGUGGCACGAUUGGGCAACUUCAAAAAAUGAUUUCAUUGCUGGAAAAAGCGUGGCACGUUGGCUUUCAAUCGUGGCACGAUUUGGCAGUUCUCAGAACCCAGAAAACAUCGUUUUUGCCCUCGAAUUUACCCCUAAUUUGGCUAGAAAUAUCUGUUUUUGACUUCGUUUGAACCUAAAUUGAUAGGAGACAUUACCUAGGGUUUCCCUUUCAUCUAAACAUUAAAUUUUCCAUUAUCUCAUCGGAUUACCUACUCUUCUCAGGAUCAAAAUCUUUAAUUUAUAAACCCUAAAUUAAUCUCUUAAUUCUUGUUCGUUCAACAACAUCAUUGUUGUUAUGCAGCACCAUAACUUCAUCAUAUUUCACAUCACAAUAAAACCUCAUAAUAAAUAAACUAUCAUAGAUAACACACCCUAAAGUAGUAGGAAUCUCCCCUUUACCUCGAACCUUUGAAAAAUCUGGUUUUGGCUUGACCUUGUUGCACUAGGGUUCUCUCUGCCUCCGCUCUCCUCUUCUAUUCUUUUUCACGUUCAAAAGAUACUGAAACUAUAGAGUGUUAAUUCUCUAAAUAUACUUGGGCUAACCUCCAUCUAUUACUCUUUCUAUUCUAUUUCCUAUUAUUUUUACUCCUCCCUCCCCCACUUAGUUAUUUUCUUCUAUUCGACACCUCCCCCUUUUCUUAUCUUAUUUUACUUAUCUGUUUUCCUCUUCAUUAUUGACAAUCUUCCUAGUACAUCAUUAGUCAUCGUAAACCAUCAUCUCAUAAUUAACAUAUAUUUUAAGCAUCAUAACAUCAAUUGAAUCUUAAACUUAAGAAUUUAUCUAACUAGUAUAAUUCACUAAUUAAAUAUAAAAUUCGGGGUGUUACAAAGGCCAUCAAUGCCAGCAGCAACUGUAGCAGAUAAGCCCAAGUAUGGGUUUGCAGUACCAUCAAAUGGUUUAAACUCAAAAUUACUCACUAAACCACUGGGAAUUCCAGGUGAACAAGCUCGCAAUGGAGCAUUCCUAUUUUCAUUUCCCCAAAAUAAGUAUGAACCCCAUGUGGUCAGCAACAACCUAUCAUAACUACAAUCAAAUUGAGUAGUCACAUGAUUACAUUUCAUGAGAUUAGUAUGAAGUGUGUUGAUGAUUUGCUUAAUAAUCAUAAAGAUUAUACCCAUAAAAGACAGAGGGUGCUGCCCCCACUCAUGAUAGCUAAAAACAAAAGUAAGCAUAUUUGUCUUUAGCCACUAAAACGAUAACAUUUUGCCCCUCUCUCUUAAAUAAUGCGGAUCUGCAACCUUCUGAUGAAAUACCUUGUUGUUCAUUUCAUUCCAAAUAAUCCAGACACAAGCCAACCAAAUUAUCCGAAAGAACGUGUGAGAAGAACGCAGUAACCUGUUGGAACAAAAUGUGUUUCACAAUAAACCUUUAUGAGUUUUGAUGAUAACAAGGUAUUAAAAAUUGUCAAUAACAAGGUAUUUUCAGGAACAAAUAUUUGAUGGAUUAAGUCUUGGAGCAAAAGAAAGGGAUUUGGAGCUGAUUCGGUACGAAAAUACGAAGAUUUGGAGACAAAAUAUGUCUCCCCCAAAGUCAGAAGCUUGGCACGGUGUAACGCCCUAGUCGUUAAUUUAUUUAUUUUAGAAUUAACUAGAGUCUUUUAUGUGUUUUUAAUUAAUAUGUGUGAUUUAUUUGGUGUAUAAUAUUUUAUUAUGUAGUUAUUUUUUUAUAAUAAAUUGAGAAAUUGAAUUAUUUUAGGAGGUUGGGGAGUUAAUUAGAAUUUAAUAGAAUUAAGGGGAGAUUAAUAGAAAGAGGGGAGUUAUACUUUGGUAACUGCUAUUCGUCUCUUGAAUCAAAGGACUAAUAACAGUCGCGACUUGUUGUGUCGCCAUAUUAACCAUAUCAUGGUUAGUCUCUGCCAUGGUUUGCCUUAACGCAUUCAUCGAAGCGUUGGUCAAUGAUUGUUGAGGCGAACCGAAUGGGAUAAACGUUUGUUGAGAUCUACCAAACGAGACAUUUUCCCCCUGGUUAGAAAAGGGUGGUAUGAUCGUGGUAGUGUGUGAAGUUUGGGUCGAAGAGGUUGGGAUGCCAUAGGACCCUCUUCCAUUGUUUCCCAGAUUGAGAAACCUUUGAGAAAACGUAUUUCCCGCAGACUGGGUAGUCUGAGCGGCUGUCGUAACCGCCGGGGUACUUCUUAAAGUAUUAUAGGCCAUCGUAUUCGACGUAUUGGCCUGUGAUGUUUGUGAAGUUACGUUUUCCUCUAGUAGGGUCUCUACAGGCUCUAAUACAUUAGUCAUAUUGCUAUUCUGGUUAAGUUGCGGAGACCCUAUCGGAAUUGUUUGAUUGGUCGCUGUUCCUGAAGUAGAAGCAGUGUUCGCUGCUGUUGUGCCAGAAACUAUAGAAGGACGCGUCAUUUCAGGAAGUAUUUUGUUAUUCCUUAAACGCAUACACAAUGCAGACCAACAAAAAUUUUAGAAUUGAAAAAAUUUUCCAAGUUAAAAGCACAAAAGGUCCCACUGGGCGUGCCAAUUUGUUUACACUAAUUUUUGGUAAACAAUCGCUGGUUUCCAUAAUGUUUACUUGGAAGAUCAACCAGUAAAUCUUAGGAGCAUAUUGUGCUUUUGUUGUUUGAAAGUAGGAGUAAUACUUGUUCGUAAAGUAUUUUUGAUAAAGUAAAGACAAGAACAAAAUGUAAAGAAUUGAAUCCAAUCCGUGUUGAAUCCAAUCGAAAUUCUGUAGAUAAUGACAAUAAAAAGGAAGUACUUUGAAAGGACUUAGUAAAAACAAGACUUAAAUUGCAAAAAGUGUUUAAAAGAUUGUAUUGAAUUUGUAAAGACUUAAUGAAAGUUGGUGCACAUAUUCAUACUUUGCAACUUGUGACUCAUUUGUCGCUUCCAUACGGACAGUAUUGAGUGUAAGUUUUUAGUAUGAUUGAAUUGUGACCCCUUUUUCCUAAGAAAAACUACUAUUUAUACAGAUAGUCCUAUAACUACCUAAUCAUAUCCGUUCGAUUCAAAAUCGAAACUAGCCGUUUGAAACUAGCCGUUUGCUAACUGCUUGAUCUUAUCCAAAAAAUCUGAAGGCGCUUCGAUAACUUCCUUUAUCCAUCGAACUAAAACGGCUUCUUCGAUUCCCGCUAAAGGUAUACAUAUAUUUUUCGAUGGAUUCUUUCACAAAGCUAAGUCCAACUUUUUAGGUCAAACCCUUGACUGCAUUAAAUGAUACUAUUCUCACAAAUAUCGGCUAACACAGGUAGAUGUAAAAUUUGUUGAUUUAAUGAUUGCUGGUUAUGAAACUGAGAAUAGUGAUUUCAAGGUUGAUGAUCAGGGUGUGUUGAGGUUCAGAGGAAGAAUUUGUAUUCCUGAUGAUGAUGGUUUGAAAAAGUUGAUUUUAGAGGAAAGUCACAAGAGUAGCUUGAGUAUUCACCCGGGAGCUACGAAAAGGCACUCAAGGUCCAACUAAAAAGUCGAAAUUACAAAAUCCAACAUGCUCUCUGCCUUAGCUCGCUAUGGCGAGUAAGGUUGCUCGCUAUGGCGAGCUGUAUUGCACAACUCGCGAGGCGAGGAAAAAGAGGUCGCGAGGCGAGCGAUGAUCAUUGUUUAUUUUUACGUGUGCGCUUAAAUAAUUUAGAGGAAUGCUAGGAACACGACCUCUAACACACUCUUUAAACACAUCCAAUAAUAUAAAACCACCUCAUCCCUUUUUUUUCUGUCCUUUUACGGGUUACCUGUUUGGGUUUAGCCAAUCACUUGUUUUAUUUUGUAUUAUUAUUUUUAUUUUAUUUUAACUUUUCAUCUUCUAGAUUUACCCAGAAGGAUAUCUCUGUUAACUAUCUUCUAGAAUUAAGAAUGGGAAAAAACUCAUCCAUUUGGAACAACAUCUGUAACACAACUUUCUUCUUUUUCAAGGAUAUGGCAAGUGGACAACAAAAUUUUAAUCAUGUUGUAAUAAGGAUUUUAUUCCCAUUUUAAAUUUUAGUUUUUUCUUUUUCAAGGUCCCAAUCUUAAUUCUAAUUUUUUUCCAAAAUUCUAAAUUUUAGUUUUUUUUUUUAUUCCAUUAAGGAUUUGACAGAAGAAUUAAGAAUUAAGAAUUUUUUCCGAUUCUUCAUUCUAGUUUUUUUCCGAAAGAAGGUCCAAAGGAAAUCGCCGUUAACAGUAACAGCCUGAUUUUUGCUAGAUUUAUUUUUAAUUGUUUUAAUAUGUGUUUACAUGUGCUUGUGUGUGAUUAUUAACCAUUGGGUGCAUUUUACUGGGUUUUCGAGUUAGAAGGGUAAUUUAGUCAUUUUGAACUCAGGGGUAUUUUGGUCAUUUGAUGAUUAAGGGUAAAUUAGUAAUUUUUGGUGAGGAUUAUUUUUAGUGUUUAGUGAGAACCAUUAUUUUACUAAGUUAUGAGUGUAGUAAUUAGUGGUGAACCGUUUAGUGACCGUUGUUAGUAUUUUAUCAUUGAGUGGUCGUUAUUAGUAUUUUACUGUUAAAAAUGUAGAAACAUUUUAGAAUUGUGUUGGAGUGGGUUAAGUCCACUAAAGUAUUAGGUUAAGACCAUUAGAGGACUAGCCUAUAUAAGCAUUGUCUUAAGAGAAAAACCUUAUUCAUUUCAUUACAUAGAUAUUUUGAGAGAGGUAGAGAGAGAAUGUGCAAGAGAAGAGGAGAAAAUGGUUAGAGAGAAGAGGCUUGAAGAUUCAAGAAGAUGUGAGGAUCCUAGGAGCUAAAGUGAAGCUUGGGCUAGGAAUUUGUGCUAAUUAAGGUAAGGGGGUUAGAAUUCAUCAUAAUCAUUUAGUGUGAUUUUUCAUUUGUUGUAUGAUUAAGUGCUUAAUUGAAUAAGUGAUUAUUGGUUCUUAGAUGUUGAAUUUCGUGCUCUAAUUAUGAUGGUAUGUUUGAAUACAUGAAAUUGGUGAUAAUUGAAUUAUUGUUGGUGAAAUUGCAUGUUCAUAGUAUGUGAAAAUGGGUACUGAUGAGUCAUUUAUUAUCUAUUUUAAUACGUUAUAUAGUUUCAUUUUAAUUAGAUUUAAGUUUAUUUUAUAUUUAUAUUACUUCAUUUUUGAACUAUUUUACUUUAAUUGCAUAUUGUUAUAUUUCAGGAACGAAUAUUUGAUGUUUAAGUCUUGGAGCAAAAGAGAGGGAUUUGGAGCUGAUUUGGUACGAAAAUACGAAGAUUUGGAGACAAAAUAUGUCUCCCCCAAAGUCAGAAGCUUGGCACGGUGUAACGCCCUAGUCGUUAAUUUAUUUAUUUUAGAAUUAACUAGAGUCUUUUAUGUAUUUUGAAUUAAAUUAACAGAAAGGAUCAAACCGAUACUUUAAAUAAAGUUAAGGGACCUAAACGGAUCUUUUAUUACUUACGGGACCAAAGCGAUACCAAAUAAAUACUUAAGGGACCAAAAGAGCAUUUAAGCCUAUAAUAAAUUGAGAAAUUGAAUUAUUUUAGGAGGUUGGGGAGUUAAUUAGAAUUUAAUAAAAUUAAGGGGAGAUUAAUAGAAAGAGGGGAGUUAUACUUUGGGAGUUACGGAAAGAAUAAGGAGAGAAACAUUUUGUACGUACAACUGACAAGUUUGGGGGAGAAAACCAAGAACAAGGGAGAUGAACCUAGGAACUGAUUUGCUGUGUUUUUUUUCUACAAUUCUAAGGUAAGGGUGAGAUUAUCUUUCAAUAAUCAUAAUAUGUAAUUUCUGAAAAUUAAUCAAAUGCAUUGUUCUUGAAGAUAAAAUGGGGAAUUUAGGGUUGAUGAUGACUUCGAAAGGAAUGGUGUAAGAAUUGUGUUUAAUGUGUUGUAAAUUGGUGUUCAGUAUAUUUUCUUAACUUAUAAUGUUGUUGUGAUCAGAAUUGGAAUGAAAUUAGAAUAUGUUGGAUGAAUUGGGAAGUUUUGUAUGAUUGCUAGAAUGCUCUGAAUUGUUGUUGUUGAUGCCUGUUUUGUGUUCCUUUAGAUGCCUAGUUGUAUAUAGGACCUGUAAACAUUUGCUGGAAAACGUUUUGGGUGAUCAGGGGAUUAAAAUUGGGUUUUUGGAGUGAGAAGAGGUCUAAACCCGUAGGUUUUUGGCCUGCCCAGAUGAGUCGUCGCUUAAGCGAGCAUUCAAGAUCGCUGCCCAGAAUUUGAAGGAGCCAGGUCGCUCAAGCAACCCAUGAGCGAGCCCGUAAGCGUAGAAAUAAUUGCUUUCUGCCAAGCGUUCGCCUGAGCAAACCCGCGAGCGUGCCGUCAGCGAGCAAAACCCAAACUUUCUGCAAGCCGGUCGCUUAAGCGAGCUGAGCCUUAGUCAGCCACUUUCUGAAUUUUGCUUCGUGCAUUAGGGGACCCUUUUGAGCAUUCAAAGAUGUUUCUUUCAGCUUAUAUAACCCUUGUAUAGGUAACAAAUCCUACUAAAGCACAAUGAUAAUUGAUUUAGCUUAAUAUAUGAAUUUUGGAGAUGUUGGAGUAAUUGAAACUAAGUAAACUCGUAUACUAUGUUGAGGGAACUUGUUGCAUUAACAUGAUUAUUAAUAAUUGUGUAUUUUCUGAAAUUGUUGGAUUGGUUUUGGUAAUUUAUGGUUAGCUGAGAUGUAUGCUUCUGUUUAGAUAAGUUAUACAUGAUGUCGCAUUAUGGAGUGAUGAGUCAUAUGAGUUCAUAUGCAUUGUUGGAGUUGUAUGUAGAUAUAUACAAGUGGGUCAGUUGCAUAAACAUAAAAGCGGUGAGGGCUUCUGCCCUGGAACGCCUUGUCGUUCAAAGCGGUGGAACACAUUGUUGUUCAAAACGGUGAUUAGCGGUGAGGACUCAUGUCCUGAUAAAAGAAUACUUUAACCAUUCUAUAGCGGUGAGGGCCCCGGCCCUGAUAUGGUGGCACAUCCAUUGUAGAGGAGUCUUAGUGGAGUUGUGGAGUGUUGCAUGAGUCAAUGUCGUUGGUCUUUAAAUGCCUUGUUGUGGAUAUUGAAAACGAUGAUGUUUAUAAAAUGUUGAAGAAUUAUUAUGAUAUUAGGGUGUUUGAUUCAUUGAAGUUAUUAUAUAUUAUUAUUAUUGUUUGUGAAUCUCACCCCUUCUGCUUGAAAAUGUUGCCCUUCCGAUGGGUAACUUGCCGGUGAUCCUGAGUAGUAGGUGGUGGCUCAAAGUGUCUAGGGCUCUGAUACGUGGGAUGGGAUUUUAUCUUUUAAUUUCUUUCCUAUGUAUCAAAUUUUGAACACUGAUGGCGUAGCCCUAUUGCUGUUGAAUUACCCUGUUGAGGCUUUUUAUGCCAAGAAAUAUUUAUUGGAUAUUAAAUAUGUUGGAUGAUGUUGUUAAUUGAUGUUGAUCAUAUUCCGCUGCAAGAUUUUGAUGAAAUGAAUAAAAUUGGUGGUUUAUUAAAUAGUUUUAUAUUCUAUUUAAGAAAUUUUAAAAAUGUAGUGUGACAUGCCCGUUUGGGUUAUUACUCUGAUGUUGAAAUAUUUAUUAUUUAAUUGAUUAUUGGGAACGGGGUGUUACAAUUGGUAUCAAAGCAGGUUGGUCCGUCCGGACGAGUAGUAGAGUCGUGUUGAGCCACCUAGGAUAGAGUGUCAACUGUAAUGUUGUUUGUUGUUGUUGUUCUGCAUUGUUGUUUCUUAUGUAGAACUCUGAAAUGGCUGGUCGUAAUGAUGCUGCUAUCGCUGCUGCACUUGAGGCUGUUGCUCAAGCUGUAGGACAGCAACCGAAUGCUGGAGCUGGUAACGGUGAGGUGAGAAUGCUGGAGACCUUCUUGAGAAAUUUGUAAGACCCAGUGUUUCACCAUGGGGAGCGCCUGUGUUGUUGGUAAAGAAGAAGGAUGGUAGUAUGAGAUUGUGCAGUGACUAUCAUCAGUUGAUAAGUCAAUGAAUAUUCUGUCAGUGCCAAGGCCCAUUUCCCGACUCGGCUAUGUAAGAUUGGUUUCGACAGCAUAUGUUUAAUAAUAUCAAAAUGGGAAUAAACAUAAACGUGAAAAGGCUUUAUAUAAUGCUUAAGUUUUGUACAUGAGAAGAAUAAACACAAACAAAGUUUUUCACUAGGAUGAUAUCUUGUUUCAACAUCAUUAAGUACUCGACUUAGAUAAUAAAUGGCCCUUUCUGUGCCAUAUUCAUCCUCUUGUGCUAACAUACUUCCUAUGGUGCCAUCUGACGUUGCUAUAUAUAACUUCAUUCUUCUACCCUUCAACAAAGGGGAAAGAACCGGAGGAUUUACCAAAUAUGACUUGAUUUCAUCGAAAGCUUUUUGGUGCUCGGAUUCCCAUUUGAAGACAUCAUCUUUCUUUAAUCGGAGUAGUGGUGAGAAAGCUUGUGUCUUGCCACUUAGGUUUGAUAUAAACCUUCGGAGAAAGUUGAUUUUUCCUAAUAGAGACUGUAAUUCUUUCUUUGUAGAAGGAGCCUUGGUCUCAAUUAUUGCCUUGGUUUUGUUCUGGUUGAUCUCGAUUCCUUUUUUGUGCACAACGAACCCUAAGAAAUCACCUGCACAAACCCCAAAUGCACAUUUUAAAGGAUUCAUUUUCAAUCCAUAUUGCCUCAUCCUUUCGAAUGAUCGGCGUAAAUGUUCCAAGUGUCUCUCUUCCGAAGAAGAUUUCACUACAAUGUCAUCUAUGUAAACCUGCAUAAAAUUCUCUAUGAAGUCAUGGAACAUUAAAUUCAUCGCUUUCUGGUAUGUAACACCAGCAUUUUUUAGACCAAAUGGCAUCACUAUCCAUUCAUAACAUCCUAACGUCCCUAGGCAUCGAAAUGCAGUCUUAGCGAUAUCUUCUUCUGCAAUAAAGAUUUAAUUGUAACCAGAGUAUCCAUCUAGCAUACUCAAGUAAUCGAAACCCGCCGCUGAAUCUACUAGCAUUUCUGCUACUGGCAUUGGGUAUUCGUCUUUAGGGGUAGCGAGAUUCAGAUCUCUAAAAUCUAUGCAUACCCUUAUGGUUCCAUUUUUCUUUUUAACUAGAACUACAUUUGCUAGCCAAUCUACAUACCUUGUAGGCCUGAUAAAGCCGCAUUUCAAUAGUCGAUCGAUCUCUUCUUUAAUCUUUGGUAGGAUUUGUGGAGCGAAUCUACGCGGAAUCUGUUUGACUGGCUUUUUGUCUGGUCGAAUUGGUAACUUUAACUCCACCACUUCUCGUUUCAGACCAGGCAUCUCGUUGUAAUCCCAUGCAAAGCAAUCUUUGUACUCUUUUAAUAGCUCUGCAAUUUGAUAUUUAAAUUUUUCAGGGAUUUUGGCACUUACGUAACUAGGUCUUUUAACCGUUCCAUCACCCAAAUCAAUUUCUUCGAGGGGAUCUUGUGCCUUCAUUUUUAUAGUGGAUCCCAUAGGAUCCUCUUCGAAGCCUAACGGUUCAUUAUCAUAAAUGCAAUCCAGUUUCUGGUCUUCGACAUCAACAUCUGUCGAUCCGUCUUCAAGCUUCUCGAUCUCCUCUUGCUUCGAAGAUUCGGCCUCUUUGGCCGUUUAUAACUCUUUUUCGGCCAAGUAGGCCGUAAUUUUCUCCCACAUACUAGGAUCAGACAUAAUUUCAAUUUCUUGCGUCCCCCCCGAUUGGUGGGGUAGCAUACUCAGAAAUAUUAGGAACAAGGCUAUCAGCAACCUUUUUGUAUGCUUGGGCUCUAGUUACGAGCAAACCUUCAUUCUCCAACUGAACUUCCUGUUGACUGACCAUUACAAAGUCAUGGUCUUUGAAUUCUUUUUCCCACACGAACCCUGCUUCUGGUUGCAGUUUCAUUGAGUACAUUUCAUCACUCGAAGUUAUCUUUUCGGGUCCUGGAUAUAUGACUGGGGCUAUAUGUGCCAGCUGCUUAUUGAAAUUCUUCUUGGUAAUAGUGUUUACUUCAGCCAAGAAAUAACUUUGAUCGGCUUCCACGUUCUCAACUAGCCCAUCUUCUUUCCAUAUGGCAAUCCUUUGAUGCACCGUAGAGGGAACUGCACCCACACCAUGUAUCCAUUCUCUACCCAAUAGUACAUUGAAGUUCGCUUUUGAUGGGACUACCAUAAAUGUUGUUACCCUUUUUGUGCUGCCCACCACUAAUUCCAAUUCGAUGGCGCCCAAAGAAUUUCCUGAAGUGCCUUCAUAGUUAGUGAGAAUAACAUUAUGAGGCUUCAAGUUAGAGUCAUAAAGUCCAAUUCUUCCCAGAAAUGAUUGAGGCAGCAAGUUGACGGUGGCUCCACCAUCCACUAGUACUUUAUUUACCCCUACGCCAUUGAUUUUGGCCUGAAUAAAUAAAGGCUUGAGAUGUGACUUCAUCGAAGUAUCUGGUUUUUCGAAGAAAUAAUAGCACAGUGGCUUGUGAGUUGCCAUUUCAUCGACGAAAUCACUUUCAACUUCGUUAAUUUCUAACUGAACAUCGUAUUCCACCGGUAGGAUAGAAACCACAUUGCAAACUAUAUCGAGACUAGGGUCAGAUCCCGUGAAAUUCGAAGUCAUAUCUUCAUCCUCUUUGGGAUGAUCUUUCUUCAAAAUUGACAAUGGGGGUGAGAUUCUCUCUGUUGCUGGUUUCUUAACCAUUUCGAACACAGUUUUCUGCUUAUCCUGUGUUUUAUAACAUUGGUGAUGUAUUGUAAAGCUGUUGCUUUUUUCUGGGGUUGAUACCUACGCCAUUGAGUUCGUGUCAUAGGUUGCUUACCUUUGUAAUUAUUAUUAUAAGAAUACCUGGUAGGCAAUUCUGGCACAUCAAGUCGAGGAGCAGGAACUUUUCUCUUCACCAAUUUGGUUGGAGGGGCAGAAUAGCCAGACUUUCUUCCUCCUGAAAAGACCCAAGUGUCAGUGGGGGAGUCUGCAGAUGGAUUGAAAGUUCCUCUCCAAUUUCUCUUUUGCGAAUUUCCAGCAGCAUAAUCUUUAUACGGGACACCCCUUUUAUUGAACUUCAAUUUAGGACGGCUAUCUUUCCUCUUCCCGUUCCACUUUGCCUGUGGCUGAGCGCUCUCUAUUGCUUUAGCGGCUUCCUUAUCGAACACUGCGCUACACCUUGGACAAAGCAUGGCGUUGGUGUUUGAAAUUUUGCAGCGAUUCAGAAAAUCAACUAGAUCUUCUUCAGCUUUAGGGUAUGCCUUUUCUACAUUCUUUUGGAGUUGGUCCUCAGUAACCAGGCUGGCAUUUCGAACAUGGUCUUCAGUAACCAUCUCAGUAUCAUCAAGUACAGCCUUUCUCGAUAACAGCUUGCUGUCGCUUGGUGCUGCAACAUCCACCAUGUUUAUGCCAACCACUUCAGCGUACAUGGAAUCGGCCUUUUUGGAAGAUUCGACAUCAGGCUUAUUUGUUGCUUUAGCCUUUUCUCCGAAUUUCAAUCUUCCUUCAUCGAGAGCUUUCUGCACAGAAUCCCUAAAACGAGUGCAACGGGAUAAGUUAUGGCCCAAAAAACCAUGAAAUUUACAAAAACCCCUUUUCUUUCUCUGAUCUAGAGGAGGGAGUUUCAUAUUAUCCGGCACUAAAAUUAUGCCAUCAGCAACUAAAAGAUCAAAUAUUUCUUCACAUUUAGACACAUCAAAAGUAUAAGUUUUUGGGGGAUAUUUAUCAUUUUUGGGUUCUUCUGCGUUUUUCCCAUUUGAUGGCCUCAAUAAUUUGCAAGUGUAAGGCGGCCCAUCUUUUAAUUCUGCGAGAUUUAUUUCGUUAUCUUCUACAGAAUCGGAACCCCAAUCGAAUUCUGGCUCACUAUCCCUAGUAUCGAUAUAAGCAACUUUCUCUUUCUUAGGGAACCUAUUCGUUCUGGCUUUUUCAGCCUUGAGUCUUUCAACUUGGCGGACUCUAUCUGCUAAUUGCGCCAUGUCCCUAAGAUAUUGUGUAUCUAAUUUCUUUCGAACAGAAUAAUCUAAGCCACCUGCAGCCAUUUCGACCAAUUCGUGUUCUGGCACGGCGGUGAAACAUCGGGCUUUGAGGAGUCGAAAUCUGUUCAAAUAAUCGUCUAUCGACUCAUGCCUUUUCCGUCUGAUACUGGCCAACUCUUUCAAACUAAUCUUAGAUUGGCCCAUGUAAAACUGCUCAUGAAACGCUUUUUCUAAUUGAUUCGAACUGACUAUGGAGUGUGGAGGCAAUGUUGUGAACCAUGUGAAUGCAUUCUUUGUCAGAGAACUUAGGAAAUAUUUCAAUUUCAAAUUCUCAUUAUUUGCCAAAUCACCGGCCUCCAUAAUAUAUCGGGCAACAUGUUCGACAGUGGACUCAUUCGUUUCCCCAGCAAAUUUGGUGAAUUUGGGGACUUUAUGGUUUCUUGGCAUCUCCGUUUCUAACACGAAUUCGGACAACGCAGAAACAAAAUUUGGACGGUGUAUUCCAGUGUUGAAACCGUUUUGAGCCAUCAAUGAUUCGACUAUAUCGGCUAUGUUAUUAUGGCCCCCAUAGUUAUUUCGACGGGCCUGCAUAACCACUUGGUCAACAUUUUGGUUUCUAUUUACCACUACAGGAAUCCUAACGGCUUCUUCUGGUAUUUCAGGCUGCUCGUUUUGCGCCUGGUUUUCGAGCACUUGAUUAGUCUGUUCUUCGACAGGUGCUUCUCUUGGCCUGACAUUCGCAUUUCGCGUAGCCGGCGUAACGCGCACUUGGGGUGCGCCCAGAAAAUCCGCUAUCCGCCCCAUAUGUUGUGAUAGGGCUUGGUAACUGCUAUUCGUCUCUUGAAUCAAAGGACUAAUAACAGUCGCGACUUGUUGUCUCGCCAUAUUAACCAUAUCAUGGUUAGUCUCUGCCAUGGUUUGCCUUAAUGCAUUCAUCGAAGCGUUGGUCAAUGAUUGUUGAGGCGAACCGAAUGGGAUAAACGUUUGUUGAGAUCUACCAAACGAGACAUUUUCCCCUUGGUUAGAAAAGGGUGGUAUGAUCGUGGUAGUGUGUGAAGUUUGGGUCGAAGAGGUUGGGAUGCCAUAGGACCCUCUUCCAUUGUUUCCCAGAUUGAGAAACCUUUGAGAAAACGUAUUUCCCGCAGACUGGGUAGUCUGAGCGGCUGUCGUAACCGCCGGGGUACUUCUUAAAGUAUUAUUGGCCAUCGUAUUCGACGUAUUGGCCUGUGAUGUUUGUGAAGUUACGUUUUCCUCUAGUAGGGUCUCUACAGGCUCUAAUACAUUAGUCAUAUUGCUAUUCUGGUUAAGUUGCGGAGACCCUAUCGGAAUUGUUUGAUUGGUCGCUGUUCCUGAAGUAGAAGCAGUGUUCGCUGCUGUUGUACCAGAAACUAUAGAAGGACGCGUCAUUUCAGGAAGUAUUUUGUUAUUCCUUAAACGCAUACACAAUGCAGACCAACAAAAAUUUUAGAAUUGAAAAAAUUUUCCAAGUUAAAAGCAAAAAAGGUCCCACUGGGCGUGCCAAUUUGUUUACACUAAUUUUUGGUAAACAAUCGCUGGUUUCCAUAAUGUUUACUUGGAAGAUCAACCAGUAAAUCUUAGGAGCAUAUUGUGCUUUUGUUGUUUGAAAGUAGGAGUAAUACUUGUUCGUAAAGUAUUUUUGAUAAAGUAAAGACAAGAACAAAAUGUAAAGAAUUGAAUCCAAUCCGUGUUGAAUCCAAUCGAAAUUCUGUAGAUAAUGACAAUAAAAAGGAAGUACUUUGAAAGGACUUAGUAAAAACAAGACUUAAAUUGCAAAAAGUGUUUAAAAGAUUGUAUUGAAUUUGUAAAGACUUAAUGAAAGUUGGUGCACAUAUUCAUACUUUGCAACUUGUGACUCAUUUGUCGCUUCCAUACGGACAGUAUUGAGUGUAAGUUUUUAGUAUGAUUGAAUUGUGACCCCUUUUUCCUAAGAAAAACUACUAUUUAUACAGAUAGUCCUAUAACUACCUAAUCAUAUCCGUUCGAUUCAAAAUCGAAACUAGCCGUUUGAAACUAGCCGUUUGCUAACUGCUUGAUCUUAUCCAAAAAAUCUGAAGGCGCUUCGAUAACUUCCUUUAUCCAUCGAACUAAAACGGCUUCUUCGAUUCCCGCUAAAGGUAUACAUAUAUUUUUCGAUGGAUUCUUUCACAAAGCUAAGUCCAACUUUUUAGGUCAAACCCUUGACAGCAUUAAAUGAUACUAUUCUCACAAAUAUCGGCUAACACAGGUAGAUGUAAAAUUUGUUGAUUUAAUGAUUGCUGGUUAUGAAACUGAGAAUAGUGAUUUCAAGGUUGAUGAUCAGGGUGUGUUGAGGUUCAGAGGAAGAAUUUGUAUUCCUGAUGAUGAUGGUUUGAAAAAGUUGAUUUUAGAGGAAAGUCACAAGAGUAGCUUGAGUAUUCACCCGGGAGCUACGAAAAGGCACUCAAGGUCCAACUAAAAAGUCGAAAUUACAAAAUCCAACAUGCUCUCUGCCUUAGCUCGCUAUGGCGAGUAAGGUUGCUCGCUAUGGCGAGCUGUAUUGCACAACUCGCGAGGCGAGGAAAAAGAGGUCGCGAGGCGAGCGAUGAUCAUUGUUUAUUUUUACGUGUGCGCUUAAAUAAUUUAGAGGAAUGCUAGGAACACGACCUCUAACACACUCUUUAAACACAUCCAAUAAUAUAAAACCACCUCAUCCCUUUUUUUUCUGUCCUUUUACGGGUUACCUGUUUGGGUUUAGCCAAUCACUUGUUUUAUUUUGUAUUAUUAUUUUUAUUUUAUUUUAACUUUUCAUCUUCUAGAUUUACCCAGAAGGAUAUCUCUGUUAACUAUCUUCUAGAAUUAAGAAUGGGAAAAAACUCAUCCAUUUGGAACAACAUCUGUAACACAACUUUCUUCUUUUUCAAGGAUAUGGCAAGUGGACAACAAAAUUUUAAUCAUGUUGUAAUAAGGAUUUUAUUCCCAUUUUAAAUUUUAGUUUUUUCUUUUUCAAGGUCCCAAUCUUAAUUCUAAUUUUUUUCCCAUUCUAAAUUUUAGUUUUUUUUCUUAUUCCAUUAAGGAUUUGACAGAAGAAUUAAGAAUUAAGAAUUUUUUCCGAUUCUUCAUUCUAGUUUUUUUCCCAAAGAAGGUCCAAAGGAAAUCGCCGUUAACAGUAACAGCCUAAUUUUUGCUAGAUUUAUUUUUAAUUGUUUUAAUAUGUGUUUACAUGUGCUUGUGUGUGAUUAUUAACCAUUGGGUGCAUUUUACUGGGUUUUCGAGUUAGAAGGGUAAUUUAGUCAUUUUGAACUCAGGGGUAUUUUGGUCAUUUGAUGAUUAAGGGUAAAUUAGUAAUUUUUGGUGAGGAUUAUUUUUAGUGUUUAGUGAGAACCAUUAUUUUACUAAGUUAUGAGUGUAGUAAUUAGUGGUGAACCGUUUAGUGACCGUUGUUAGUAUUUUAUCGUUGAGUGGUCGUUAUUAGUAUUUUACUGUUAAAAAUGUAGAAACAUUUUAGAAUUGUGUUGGAGUGGGUUAAGUCCACUAAAGUAUUAGGUUAAGACCAUUAGAGGACUAGCCUAUAUAAGCAUUGUCUUAAGAGAAAAACCUUAUUCAUUUCAUUACAUAGAUAUUUUGAGAGAGGUAGAGAGAGAAUGUGCAAGAGAAGAGGAGAAAAUGGUUAGAGAGAAGAGGCUUGAAGAUUCAAGAAGAUGUGAGGAUCCUAGGAGCUAAAGUGAAGCUUGGGCUAGGAAUUUGUGCUAAUUAAGGUAAGGGGGUUAGAAUUCAUCAUAAUCAUUUAGUGUGAUUUUUCAUUUGUUGUAUGAUUAAGUGCUUAAUUGAAUAAGUGAUUAUUGGUUCUUAGAUGUUGAAUUUCGUGCUCUAAUUAUGAUGGUAUGUUUGAAUACAUGAAAUUGGUGAUAAUUGAAUUAUUGUUGGUGAAAUUGCAUGUUCAUAGUAUGUGAAAAUGGGUACUGAUGAGUCAUUUAUUAUCUAUUUUAAUACGUUAUAUAGUUUCAUUUUAAUUAGAUUUAAGUUUAUUUUAUAUUUAUAUUACUUCAUUUUUGAACUAUUUUACUUUAAUUGCAUAUUGUUAUAUUUCAGGAACGAAUAUUUGAUGAUUAAGUCUUGGAGCAAAAGAGAGGGAUUUGGAGCUGAUUUGGUACGAAAAUACGAAGAUUUGGAGACAAAAUAUGUCUCCCCCAAAGUCAGAAGCUUGGCACGGUGUAACGCCCUAGUCGUUAAUUUAUUUAUUUUAGAAUUAACUAGAGUCUUUUAUGUAUUUUGAAUUAAAUUAACAGAAAGGAUCAAACCGAUACUUUAAAUAAAGUUAAGGGACCUAAACGGAUCUUUUAUUACUUACGGGACCAAAGCGAUACCAAAUAAAUACUUAAGGGACCAAAAGAGCAUUUAAGCCUAUAAUAAAUUGAGAAAUUGAAUUAUUUUAGGAGGUUGGGGAGUUAAUUAGAAUUUAAUAAAAUUAAGGGGAGAUUAAUAGAAAGAGGGGAGUUAUACUUUGGGAGUUACGGAAAGAAUAAGGAGAGAAACAUUUUGUACGUACAACUGACAAGUUUGGGGGAGAAAACCAAGAACAAGGGAGAUGAACCUAGGAACUGAUUUGCUGUGUUUUUUUUCUACAAUUCUAAGGUAAGGGUGAGAUUAUCUUUCAAUAAUCAUAAUAUGUAAUUUUUGAAAAUUAAUCAAAUGGAUUGUUCUUGAAGAUAAAAUAGGGAAUUUAGGGUUGAUGAUGACUUCGAAAGGAAUGGUGUAAGAAUUGUGUUUAAUGUGUUGUAAAUUGGUGUUCAGUAUAUUUUCUUAACUUAUAAUGUUGUUGUGAUCAGAAUUGGAAUGAAAUUAGAAUAUGUUGGAUGAAUUGGGAAGUUUUGUAUGAUUGCUAGAAUGCUCUGAAUUGUUGUUGUUGAUGCCUGUUUUGUGUUCCUUUAGAUGCAUAGUUGUAUAUAGGACCUGUAAACAUUUGCUGGAAAACGUUUUGGGUCAUCAGGGGAUUAAAAUUGGGUUUUUGGAGUGAGAAGAGGUCUAAACCCGUAGGUUUUUGGCCUGCCCAGAUGAGUCGUCGCUUAAGCGAACGACCCAUCGCUUAAGCGAGCAUUCAAGAUCACUGCCUAGAAUUUGAAGGAGCCAGGUCGCUCAAGCAACCCAUGAGCGAGCCCGUAAGCGUAGAAAUAAUUGCUUUCUGCCAAGCGUUCGCCUGAGCAAACCCGCGAGCGUGCCGUCAACGAGCAAAACCCAAACUUUCUGCAAGCCGGUCGCUUAAGCGAGCUGAGCCUUAGUCAGCCACUUUCUGAAUUUUGCUUCGUGCAUUAGGGGACCCUUUUGAGCAUUUAAAGAUGUUUCUUUCAGCUUAUAUAACCCUUGUAUAGGUAACAAAUCCUACUAAAGCACAAUGAUAAUUGAUUUAGCUUAAUAUAUGAAUUUUGGAGAUGUUGGAGUAAUUGAAACUAAGUAAACUCGUAUACUAUGUUGAGUGAACUUGUUGCAUUAACAUGAUUAUUAAUAAUUGUGUAUUUUCUGAAAUUGUUGGAUUGGUUUUGGUAAUUUAUGGUUAGCUGAGAUGUAUGCUUCUGUUUAGAUAAGUUAUACAUGAUGUCGCAUUAUGGAGUGAUGAGUCAUAUGAGUUCAUAUGCAUUGUGGGAGUUGUAUGUAGAUAUACACAAGUGGGUCAGUUGCAUAAGCAUAAAAGCGGUGAGGGCUUCUGCCCUGGAACGCCUUGUCGUUCAAAGCGGUGGAACACAUUGUUGUUCAAAACGGUGAUUAGUGGUGAGGACUCAUGUCCUGAUAAAAGAAUACUUUAACCAUUCUAUAGCGGUGAGCGCCCCGGCCCUGAUAUGGUGGCACAUGCAUUGUAGAGGAGUCUUAGUGGAGUUGUGGAGUGUUGCAUGAGUCAAUGUCGUUGGUCUUUAAAUGCCUUGUUGUGGAUAUUGAAAACGAUGAUGUUUAUAAAAUGUUGAAGAAUUAUUAUGAUGUUAGGGUGUUUGAUUCAUUGAAAUUAUUAUAUAUUAUUAUUAUUGUUUGUGAAUCUCACCCCUUCUGCUUGAAAAUGUUGCCCUUCCUAUGGGUAACUUGCAGGUGAUCCUGAGUAGUAGGUGGUGGCUCAAAGUGUCUAGGGCUCUGAUACGUGGGAUGGGAUUUUAUCUUUUAAUUUCUUUCCUAUGUAUCAAAUUUUGAACACUGAUGGCGUAGCCCUAUUGAUGUUGAAUUACCCUGUUGAGGCUUUUUAUGCCAAGAAAUAUUUAUUGGAUAUUAAAUAUGUUGGAUGAUGUUGUUAAUUGAAGUUGAUCAUAUUCCGCUGCAAGGUUUUGAUGAAAUGAAUAAAAUUGGUGGUUUAUUAAAUAGUUUUAUAUUCUAUUUAAGAAAUUUUAAAAAUGUAGUGUGACAUGCCCGUUUGGGUUAUUACUCUGAUGUUGAAAUAUUUAUUAUUUAAUUGAUUAUUGGGAACGGGGUGUUACAAUUGGUAUCAGAGCAGGUUGGUCCGUCCGGACGAGUAGUAGAGUCGUGUUGAGCCACCUAGGAUAGAGUGUCAACUGUAAUGUUGUUUGUUGUUGUUGUUCUGCAUUGUUGUUUCUUAUGUAGAACUCUGAAAUGGCUGGUCGUAAUGAUGCUGCUAUCGCUGCUGCACUUGAGGCUGUUGCUCAAGUUGUAGGACAGCAACCGAAUGCUGGAGCUGGUAACGGUGAGGUGAGAAUGCUGGAGACCUUCUUGAGGAAUCAUCCCCUGUAACGCCCACUUUCGUUAAUUGUUUAUUUAAUCGAGUUUAGGCGAUUAUAUUAUAUUUAUAUAAUAUAUGCAUGAUUAUGGUAUGAUUUGAAUGAUUUACGUUUAUGUUGAUGGUUUAGUUGAUAUUGUGAUAGGUUAUGAGUUUUGGGAGAUUUGAUAAGAUUAAGGGAUUUAUUUUAUUGUUAAAUAAACUAAAGAUUUGAAAAUAAUAUAAAAUAUUUAGUUGAGGGCUGUUUUGAUAUUUUAGAUAGUUUUGGGGGAGAAAGUGAGAUAAGAUAAGUAAUUAAGAGGAGAUAUAAAAAGGUUAGACCUAGUUUUAGAAAAACAUUGUUGUACGUACGUUUUGGAGAAAAAGGGAGAAAAAGCCAAGAGAAGAGAAACCAAGAGGGAGAGCUGCGAUUCUGCAAAUUAAGGUAAGGGUGAGACUAAUAAUUCAAUAAUGAUAGUUGUUGUAAUUCUGAUGAUUAAUUGACAAAGUUAGGAUUGAUUUAGAAAAGUUUUGGAAUUAGGUCAAAACCCUAAAAUUGAUGAUCAAACGGUAAAACUUGAUUAGAUUGAUGUAGAAACCGUCCUAUAACCUUAGAAUAUGUUUAGGAUGAAUUAUGGAAUCAAAAUUAGGCUUUGAACCAUGUUAGUUGAUGGAUUUUUGAGAAAAACCGUUUUCUGCCCGAGCCUAUGUUCAUCGCUCGCCUUGGCGAGGGAUGAUCCUCGCCUCGCGAGUGAUGAACUUCACCGCUCGCCACGCGAGCCUUUCCCCUUCGCCUCGCGAGUACCUUUGGUACCGCUCGCCAUAGCGAGCAACCUUACUCGCCAUAGCGAGCUAAGGUAGAGAGCAUGUUAGAUUUUGUGUUUCGACCCUUUCAGUUGGACCUUGAGUGCCUUUGAGUGCCUUUCGACCCUUUCAGUAAUGAUUAGGAUUGAAUGUAGGGCAAGAUUGGACCCAGAACAACACUGGUUUGGGAUUUGAGUGGUACUCGCCAUGGCGAGUAAUAACUCUCGCCUCGCGAGCACUUCCAGCUUUGAGUGUCUUGAGUGUUUGUGCGAUCUGUGUCGCACGUUUGGAUCAAGAGUGAACCCCCUUAUGGUAAUGAAACCUAAUGAUGACGUUAAAUGCAGUCUGUAGAACUGUUCAGAUAUGAUGAUAUUUAAUUGAGUUUGAUUAAUGUAAUGUGCAAAUAUGUAUGAUAUGAAGGUUUGGUUAUGAUGCAAAUGAAUUGCUAUUGAUAUAAUGAUAUUAUCCUGUUAUAUGACUUGAUUAUGCUGCUGCUGUUAUUUGACUAAGUGCAUGGUAUAUUUAUACGAUGAAUGAUGACGUUUAGCUCCAAAUUAUUGGAUGCAUGUUGAUAUGUUGAUUACGAUGUUUUGUUCAUAAGAGUCCAUGCAUAGCAUUUCAUUGAGCUUAGUCCUCACCACGAUUAUUAGGAGCUUUGUCCUCCGCACGUUUUAUAGGAGCUUUGUCCUCCGCACGAUUAAAGUAUAUUAAUACUUAUGAUGACGAUUGGUACCACAUGCAUAUAAGGAGUCUAAGAGCAUUGUCACAUUGUCAUGUCCAUAAUGCUAUGUUGUUGAUGACGAUUGAAUACGUGAAUACGUGAUACUUGUUAUUUGAAGAUGCAAAGUUAUUAAAGAAUGAUUACGAUGUUAAUGUUAAUUAUGAUUCGAAUUACUUUGAUUAACAUUAUUUUGUUAUGAAAUCUCACCCCUUCUGCUUGAAAAUGUUGCCCUUCGUAUGGGUAACUUGCAGGUGAUCGUGCUUAGUGUGCAGUUGCCGUCGUGAGUGGCCUUGCCUUCACUGUGUCGUCUAGGCCGCUCUGAUACGUAACGGGAUGGGGUUUAAUGUUAUGCAUGUUUCAUUCUCUUACGUGACUAAUAUGUUAUUUUUAUAAUGUUAUGGAUUAUGAUCUGAACUGUUUUGAUGGGGCCUGCGUGCCAAAACGUUUUAUGACUAUGAUAUGAUUUCCGCUGCAAUGUUUAAGAUAUUUGGUUAAAUUAUUAUUUAACUGUUUUGGAUUAUGUUAUAUGUGAUAUCCCGUUGUUUAUGAUGCUUACUCUGAUAAAUGAUUUAAGAAAUUUGUAUAUUGGGAAAACGGGGUGUUACAUCCCCCAGCAUUCAAGGGAAGGUAUGAUCGCGAUGGUGCCCAGAAGUGGCUGAAGGAAGUGGAGCGGAUCUUUAGGGUCAUGCAAUGUUCUGAGGUGCAAAAGUUGCGGUUUCGAACGCACAUGCUGGCUGAGGAGGCAGAUGACUGGUGGGUAAGUUUGUUACCUGUGUUGGAACAGGAUGGAGCUGCAUUAACCUGGGCUGUGUUUAGGAGAGAAUUCCUGAAUAGAUACUUUCCGGAAGAUGUCCGAGGAAAGAAAGAGAUCGAAUUCCUGGAGUUGAAGCAGGGUGACAUGUCUGUCACAGAGUAUGCUGCUAAGUUUGUGGAACUUGCAAAAUUUUACCCUCACUAUACUGCGGAGACAGUUGAGUUUUCCAAAUGUAUCAAGUUUGAAAAUGACUUGAGAGCUGAUAUCAAGAGAGCCAUUGGAUAUCAGAAGAUCAUAAAUUUCUCGGAGUUGGUGAGCAGUUGUAGGAUAUAUGAGGAGGAUACAAAGGCUCACUAUAAGGCGAUGAGCGAGAAGAGGAAUAAGGGCCAGAGUAGUCGCCCGAAGCCCUACAGUGCUCCUGCUGACAAAGGAAAACAAAUAUUAAAUGAUGAGAGGAGGCCUAGGGGGAGAGAUGCUCCUGUUGAUGUUGUUUGUUACAAGUGUGGUGCAAAAGGCCACAAAAGUAAUGUUUGCACCAAAGAUGAGAAGAAGUGUUUCAGAUGUGGUCAAAAAGGUCAUGUUUUAGCGGAUUGCAAGCGUGGGGAUGUGGUUUGUUAUAACUGUAAUGAAGAAGGUCAGAACUGGUGGAAAAGUGUUUGCUUUGACUGGUACGCAGACUACUAAUGAGGACCGUCUUAUCAGAGGUACUUGUUUCUUUAAUAGUACUCCUUUAAUUGCUAUUAUAGACACUGGUGCUACUCAUUGUUUCAUUGCUUUAGAAUGUGCAUAUAAGUUGGGCUUGAUUGUAUCUGAUAUGAAAGGAGAAAUGGUUGUUGAAACUCCAGCUAAGGUGUCCGUUGUCUAUGUUUGGUAGAGAUUUUGAGGUUGAUCUUGUAUGUCUACCGUUGAUGGGUAUGGAUGUUAUUUUUGGGAUGAAUUGGUUAGAGUAUAACCGAGUUCAUAUAAAUUGUUUUAACAAGACGGUGUAUUUUUCUUCUGCGGAAGAAGAGAGUGGAGGAGAGUUCCUAACUACUAAACAGUUGAAGCAGUUGGAACGAGAUGGAAUUCUUAUGUUUUCUUUGAUGGCAUCUUUGUUGUUAGAGAAUCAAGCUGUAAUUGACAGGUUACCAGUGGUGAAUGAAUUUCCUGAAGUUUUUCCGGAUGAGAUUCCAGAUGUGCCACCAGAAAGGGAGAUUGAGUUCUCAAUUGAUCUUGUUCCAGGAACGAAGCCAGUGUCGCUGGCACCUUAUCGUAUGUCGACGUCUGAGCUAGCCGAGUUGAAGAAACAGUUGGAGGACUUGCUUGAUAAGAAAUUUGUAAGACCCAGUGUUUCACCAUGGGGAACGCCUGUGUUGUUGGUAAAGAAGAAGGAUGGUAGUGUGAGAUUGUGCAUUGACUAUCAUCAGUUGAAUAAAGUUACAAUAAAGAACAGAUAUCCACUCCCGAGGAUUGAUGAUUUGAUGGAUCAGUUGGUGGGUGCAAAAGUUUUUAGUAAAAUUGACUUGAGGUCAGGUUACCAUCAAAUUAAGGUGAAAGAUGAAGAUAUGCAGAAGACGGCCUUUAGGACACAAUAUGGUCAUUACGAAUACAAGGUGAUGCCAUUCGGUGUUACUAAUGCGCCUGGUGUGUUCAUGGAGUAUAUGAACCGAAUUUUUCAUGCUUUUCUGGAUAAAUUUGUGGUGGUAUUUAUUGAUGAUAUUUUAAUUUAUUCCAAGACUAAAGAGGAGCAUGCAGAACAUCUGAAGAUUAUGUUGCAAAUUUUGAAAGAGAGAAAUUUGUAUGCUAAAUUGUCGAAGUGCGAGUUCUGGUUAAGUGAAGUGAGUUUUCUAGGCUACGUUAUUUCUGGUAGUGGUAUUGCAGUUGAUCCUUCGAAAGUUGACGCAGUAUCGCAGUGGGAGACUCCGAAGUCAGUGACUGAGAUUAGAAGUUUCUUAGGUUUGGCUGGUUACUAUCACAGGUUUAUUGAGGGAUUUUCGAAGUUGGCACUUCCGUUGACUCAGUUGACCUGUAAAGGGAAAUCUUUUGUAUGGGAUGCUCAGUGUGAGAGUAGUUUCAAUGAGUUGAAGCAAAGAUUGACGACUGCUCCUAUUUUGAUUUUAACGAAGUCGGAAGAACCUUUUGUAGUUUAUUGUGAUGCUUCUAAGUUCGGCUUGGGUGGUGUUUUGAUGCAAGAUGGCAAGGUGGUAGCUUAUGCUUCUAGGCAGCUGAGAGUUCAUGAAAAGAAUUAUCGUACGCAUGAUUUGGAGUUGGCUGCGGUGGUUUUUGUUUUAAAAAUAUGGAGGCACUAUCUGUAUGGUUCUAGAUUUGAAGUGUUCAGUGAUCAUAAAAGCUUGAGGUAUUUAUUUGAUCAGAAGGAAUUGAACAUGAGGCAGAGGAGAUGGUUAGAGCUGUUGAAGGAUUAUGACUUUGGUUUGAAUUACCAUCCUGGUAAAGCCAAUGUGGUUGCGAAUGCGUUGAGCAGGAAGACCUUACAUAUGUCUGCACUGAUGGUAAGAGAAUUUGAUUUGCUAGAACAGUUUAAAGACUUGAGCCUUGUUUGUGAAUUGUCACCUCAAAGUAUUCAGUCGGGGAUGUUGAAGAUUAACAGUGAUUUCUUGAAUAGUAUCCGUGAAGCUCAGCAGGUAGAUGUAAAAUUUGUUGAUUUAAUGAUUGCUGGUUAUGAAACUGAGAAUAGUGAUUUCAAGGUUGAUGAUCAGGGUGUGUUGAGGUUCAGAGGAAGAAUUUGUAUUCCUGAUGAUGAUGGUUUGAAAAAGUUGAUUUUAGAGGAAAGUCACAAGAGUAGAUUGAGUAUUCACCCGGGAGCUACGAAAAUGUACCAUGAUUUGAAGAAGCUGUUUUGGUGGUCUGGUUUGAAGCGUGACGUCGCUCAGUUUGUGUAUGCGUGUUUUGUAACACCUCGUUUUCCCAAUAUACAAAUUUCUUAAAUCAUUUAUCAGAGUAAGCAUCAUAAGCAACGGGAUAUCACAUAAAACAUAAUCCAAAACAGUUAAAUAAUAAUUUAACCAAAUAUCUUAACCAUUGUAGCGGAAAUUAUAUCAUAAACAUAAAACGUUUUGGCACGCAGGCCCCAUCAAAGUAAUCUCAAAAGAGUUAGUUCAAUAAACAAAUAGCAUAUUAUUCACGUAAUAGAACGAAGCAUGCAUAACAUAAAGCCCAAUCCCGUUACGUAUCGGAGCGACCUAGACGACACAAUGAAGGCAAGGCCACUCACGACGGAGACUGCACACUAAGCACGAUUACCUGCAAGUUACCCAUACGAAGGGCAACAUUUUCAAGCAGAAGGGGUGAGAUUUCAUAACAAAAUAAUGUUAAUCAAAGUAAUUCGAAUCAUAAUUAACAUUAACAUCAUAAUCAAUCUUAAGUAACUUUGCAUAUUUGAUAAACAAUUAUCACGUAAUCACAUCAUCAUUCAUAGACAACUUUGCAUAUUCGAUAAACAAGUAUCACGUAUUCACAUAUUCAAUCGUCAUCAACAACAUAGCAUUAUAGACAUGACAAUGUGACAAUGCUCUUAGACUCCUUAUAUGCAUGUGGUACCAAUCGUCAUCAUAAGUAUUAAUAUACUUUAAAACGUGCGGAGGACAAAGCUCCUAAUAAGUUGUGCGGAGGACAAAGCUCCUAAUAAUCGUGGUGAGGACUAAGCUCAAUGAAUGCUAAUGCAUGGACUCUUAUGAACAAAUCACCGUAAUCAACAUAUCAACAUGCAUCCAAUAAUUUGGAGCUAAACGUCAUCAUUUCAUCAUAUAUAGACAUUAUGCACUUAGUUAAAUAACAGCAGCAGCAUAGUCAAGUCACAUAACAGGAUGAUAUCAAUAUAUAAAUUGCAAUUCAAUAGCAUCAUAAUAUUUCAUUAUAAUCCUACAUAAUGUUUAAUACAUUAAUUCAUGUUCAAUUAGUACCAACAUAUCAUAAACAGCUUUACAGACUGCAUUAAACGUCAUCAUUAGGUCUCAUUACCAUAAGGGGGUUCACUCUUGAUCCAAACGUGCGACACAUAUCGCACAAGCACUCAUUACACUUCAACUUGAAAGUGCUCGCGAGGCGAGAAUUCUUACUCGCCAUGGCGAGUACAAGACUAGUUCCAAACUAAUGUUGUUCUGAAUUUAAUCUUGUCCUACAUUCAUCCCUAAUCAUUACUAGGUAUGUUCAGGCACUCAAAGGCACUCAAGGUCCAACUAAAAAGUCGAAAUUACAAAAUCCAACAUGCUCUCUACCUUAGCUCGCGAUGGCGAGUAAGGUUGCUCGCUAUGGCGAGCUGUAUUGCACAACUCGCGAGGCGAGGAAAAAGGGGUCGCGAGGCGAGCGAUGAAUGUUCAUCACUCGCGAGGCGAGAUUCAUAGCUUGCCAUGGCGAGCGAUGAAUGUCGCUACGGCCAGACUUCCUAUUUUCACAAAAAUCCGACGAUUCUCAGGGUUCUAAGCCUAGUAUUGAUUCCAAAGUUUGUCCUAAACAUUAUCUAAGGUCCAGGAACACUUUCUACACCAAUUUAAUCAAUUCCUACCGUUUAAUCAUCAAUUCUAGGGAAUUGACCUAGUUUUCGUUUUCUCCAAUUCAAUCCUAAUUCUUGCUAACUAAUCAUCAGAAUUACAUUCAGUUAACAAUACUGAGUUAUUAGUCUCACCCUUAUCUUGUUUUGCAGAAAUCGCAGCUCUCCCUCUUGGUUUCUCUUCUCUUGGCUUUUCUCCCUUUUUCUCCAAAAACGUACGUACAACAAUGUUUUUCUAAAACUAGGUCUAACUCUUUUAUAUCUCCUCUUAAUUACUUAUCUUAUCUCACUUUCUCCCCCAAAACUAUCUAAAAUAUCAAAACAGCCCUAAACUAAAUAUUUUAUAUUAUUUUCAAAUCUUUAUUUUCUUUAAUAAUAAAAUAAAUCCCUUAAUCUUAUCAAAUCUUCCAAAACUCAUAACUUAUCUCAAUAUCAACCAAACCAUCAAUAUAGUCGUAAAUCAUUCAAAUCAUACCAUAAUCAUGCAUAUAUUAUAUAAAUAUAAUAUAAUCGCCUAAACUCGAUUAAAUAAACAAUUAACGAAAGUGGGCAUUAUCUAUGGAUUUACCGUUUGAGCAUCGGAGGUCUGCAGGGUUGUUGACACCGUUGGAUGUACCGGAGUGGAAAUGGGACAGCAUCUCUAUGGAUUUUGUGACGAGUUUACCUAAUACUCCGAGAGGACAUGAUUCUAUAUGGGUUGUGGUCGACAGGUUGACGAAGUCGGCGCACUUUAUUUCGAUUAAUAUCAGUUAUCCGGUAGCUCAGUUGGCAGAGAUUUAUAUUCAUAAUAUUGUGAAGCUACAUGGUGUACCGUCGAGUAUUGUGUCAGAUAGGGAUCUGAGGUUUACUUCUAGAUUCUGGAAGAGUUUGCAAGAUGUUUUGGGUUCGAGGUUAAGGUUGAGUUCGGCUUAUCAUCCUCAGACAGAUGGUCAGUCGGAGAGGACGAUUCAAUCCUUAGAGGAUUUCCUAAGAGUAUGUGUGCUUGAGCAAGGUGAAGCUUGGGAUAGUCACCUACCUUUGAUAGAGUUUACCUACAACAACAAUUACCAUUCGAGUAUUGGUAUGGCACCAUUCGAAGCUUUGUACGGUCGGAGGUGCAGAACUCCUUUAUGCUGGUUUGAGUCAGGUCAGAGUGCUGUGUUGGGACCGGAUUUGGUUCAUCAGACUACAGAGAAAGUCAAGAUGAUCAUAGAAAGGAUGAAAGCGUCGCAGAGUCGACAGAAGAGCUAUCAUGACAAGCGUAGGAAAGAUCUUGGGUUUCAGGAGGGAGACCAUGUGUUUCUGAGAGUUACUCCUAUGACGGGGGUAGGACGUGCAUUGAAGUCGAAGAAGUUGACUCCAAAGUUCAUUGGUCCGUAUCAGAUAUUGGAGAGGAUUGGAACAGUGGCAUAUAGGAUUGGUUUUCCACCACAUCUUUCGAAUUUGCAUGGUGUAUUCCAUGUGUCGCAGCUUCGGAAGUAUGUAGCGGAUCCGUCGCAUGUUAUUCCAAGAGAUGAUGUGCAGGUUAGAGACAACCUGACCAUUGAAACAUUACCGUUGAGAAUUGAUGAUCGAAAGGUGAAGUCCUUGAGAGGUAAAGAGAUACCUCUUGUGAGAGUCGUUUGGGGUGGAGCGACUACUGAAAGUUUGACUUGGAAGCUGGAGAGUAAGAUGCAAGAAUCGUAUCCUGAGUUGUUUGUUUGAGGUAAGAUUUCGAGGACGAAAUUCUAUAUUUUGGGGAGAGUUGUAACGCCCAAGUCGUUAAUUUAUUUAUUUUAGAAUUAACUAGAGUUUUUUAUGUGUUUUUAAUUAAUAUGUGUGAUUUAUGUGGUGUAUAAUAUUUUAUUAUGUAGUUAUUUUUUAUAAUAAAUUGAGAAAUUGAAUUAUUUUAGGAGGUUGGGGAGUUAAUUAGAAUUUAAUAGAAUUAAGGGGAGAUUAAUAGAAAGAGGGGAGUUAUACUUUGGGAGUUAAGGAAAGAAUAAGGAGAGAAACAUUUUGUACGUACAACUGACAAGUUUGGGGGAGAAAACCAAGAACAAGGGAGAAGAACCUAGGAACUGAUUUGCUGAUUUUUUUUUCUACAAUUCUAAGGUAAGGGUGAGAUUAUCUUUCAAUAAUCAUAAUAUGUAAUUUCUGAAAAUUAAUCAAAUUAGAUUGUUCUUGAAGAUAAAAUUGGGAAUUUAGGGUUGAUGAUGACUUCGAAAGGAAUGGUGUAAGAAUUGUGUUUAAUGUGUUGUAAAUUGGUGUUCAGUAUAUUUUCUUAACUUAUAAUGUUGUUGUGAUCAGAAUUGGAAUGAAAUUAGAAUAUGUUGGAUGAAUUGGGAAGUUUUGUAUGAUUGCUAGAAUGCUCUGAAUUGUUGUUGUUGAUGCCUGUUUUGUGUUCCUUUAGAUGCCUGGUUGUAUAUAGCACCUAUAAACAUUUGCUGGAAAACGUUUUGGGUGAUCAGGGGAUUAAAUAUGGGUUUUUGGAGUGAGAAGAGGUCUGAACCCGUAGGUUUUUGCCCUGCCCAAAUGAGUGGUCGCUUAAGCGAACGACCAAUCGCUUAAGCGAGCAUUCAAGAUCGCUGCUCAUAAUUUGAAGGAGCCAGGUCGCUCAAGCGACCCAUGAGCGAGCCCGUAAGCGUAGAAAUAAUUGCUUUCUGCCAAGCGUUCGCCUGAGCGAACCCGCGAGCGUGCCGUCAGCGAGCAAAACCCAAACUUUCUGCAAGCCAGUCGCUUAAGCGAGCCAGCCUUCGCUUAAGCGAGCUGAGCCUUAGUCAGCCACUUUCUGAAUUUUGCUUCGUGCAUUAGGGGACCCUUUUGAGCAUUCAAAGAUGUUUCUUUCAGCUUAUAUAACCCUUGUAUAGGUAACAAAUCCUACUAAAGCACAAUGAUAAUUGAUUUAGCUUAAUAUAUAAAUUUUGGAGAUGUUGGAGUAAUUGAAACUAAGUAAACUCGUAUACUAUGUUGAGUGAACUUGUUGCAUUAACAUGAUUAUUAAUAAUUGUGUAUUUUCUGAAAUUGUUGGAUUGGUUUUGGUAAUUUAUGGUUAGCUGAGAUGUAUGCUUCUGUUUAGAUAAGUUAUACAUGAUGUCGCAUUAUGGAGUGAUGAGUCAUAUGAGUUCAUAUGCAUUGUGGGAGUUGUAUGUAGAUAUACACAAGUGGGUCAGUUGCAUAAGUAUAAAAGCGGUGAGGGCUUCUGCCCUGGAACGCCUUGUCGUUCAAAGCGGUGGAACACAUUGUUGUUCAAAAUGGUGAUUAGCGGUGAGGACUCAUGUCCUGAUAAAAGAAUGCUUUAAUCAUUCUAUAGCGGUGAGGGCCCCCCCAGCCCUGAUAUGGUACCACAUGCAUUGUAGAGGAGUCUUAGUGGAGUUGUGGAGUGUUGCAUGAGUCAAUGUCGUUGGUCUUUAAAUGCCUUGUUGUGGAUAUUGAUAACGAUGAUGUUUAUAAAAUGUUGAAGAAUUAUUAUGAUGUUAGGGUGUUUGAUUCAUUGAAGUUAUUAUAUAUUAUUAUUAUUGUUUGUGAAUCUCACCCCUUCUGCUUGAAAAUGUUGCCCUUCCUAUGGAUAAAUUGCAGGUGAUCCUGAGUAGUAGGUAGUGGUUCAAAGUGUCUAGGGCUCUGAUACGUGGGAUGGGAUUUUAUCUUUUAAUUUCUUUCCUAUGUAUCAAAUUUUGAACACUGAUGUCGUAGCCCUAUUGAUGUUGAAUUACCCUGUUGAGGCUUUUUAUGCCAAGAAAUAUUUAUUGGAUAAUAAAUAUGUUGGAUGAUGUUGUUAAUUGAAGUUGAUCAUAUUCCGCUGCAAGGUUUUGAUGAAAUGAAUAAAAUUCGUGGUUUAUUAAAUAUUUUUAUAUUCUAUUUAAGAAAUUUUAAAAAUGUAGUGUGACAUGCCCGUUUGGGUUAUUACUCUGAUGUUGAAAUAUUUAUUAUUUAAUUGAUUAUUGGGAAUGGGGUGUUACACACGGCCCGUGCUAGCAUUGGCACGGCCGUGCCACCCUCCAGAGUCACUUUUGCUGCUUUUGCUUAGAUUUUAAGCUACUCUAUUUUAGCUCGCAGUUUCUUGUGGAACAUUCUAGUAAUGUAAUUGUUUAGAUUUUAAUUCGAAUGUCUGCUAUAAAUAGAGUAGCUAGCCAUCACAAAUAUUCAUCUUUUCUUGGAAUUCAAUAAGUGACAAUUGUCUUUCUAAUAAAAGUUCUUUUCUUUUCCUUUACUUUUUUGUUAUUUACUUUUAUGUUUUCUCUCUUCUUCCCCAUGUCUACGAUGAACAUGAGUGAGUAGAUUUCUCUUUGUCUUGGGAUUGUUGGAUAAGUCUAAAUGACAUAAUCCUAAUCAAAGCAAGUUUUAUACCUUAAUCCUAUGUAACCAUAAUCUCUAAUCUAAAUUCACCGCUUUAACAUGGAUUAACCAUUAUCAAACUGUGGAAACGAAAGUGGAGGGUUUGAUAAUUGUUCGUCCAUCAUCUCAAAUAUCAAUUCAUAAAAUGAAAGUGGAGCUUUGAUAUUCGAACAAGUGAAUUUAGACAAGGAUUGCAAAGGCAGCGAAAUAGUCUUUGCAAUCCUUGAGACAUAUAGUUUCGAUCUUCAAGGGAACUAAUAGUAAUCAACUCAGCGAAAUAGGCUUGGUUAUUAGUGUAACCAAAAUCUAAUAGUCAUCAAGUCGGCGAAAUAGGCUUGGUGGCUAGAGGAACAAAAGAGAAACUAUCUUUAGAUGUUAGGUCUAACAUAACAUAAGGUUAUAAGUUUAAUAGUUUGGUUUGUGAAGGACUUGUCAUGAAGAUGAAGCAAUGAUUCCAAGGCUCUUUUAUAUUAUUAUCUAUUCAACCGUUUGAAAACCCCAACUUUACAUAUUGAUUCUCUUCUAAUCACCAACAAAAGUUAAUUGAAUUAACCAACUCCCUGUCGAAACGAUACUCUUUUAUUACUACUUCGGUAAGACCGUGCACUUGCGGUUUUAUCCCAUCAGCUACUUAUGAGUUUUGCUCAAAUUGAUGAAUUGUGAUAUUGUGUUGUUGAAUUAUGGUUGAAUUCAUGUCUAAAUGAAGUGUUGUUGAAUUAGAUAUGUUGUUGUUGUUGAAUUAUACCAUGGGUAUUCCAUUUCAUGAAGUUGUUGUUUGAAUUUGUGAAGUUGUUGUUUGUAUUGCUAAAGUUGUGCUAGAUGUUCAUGUGAAGGACCCAAAGUGAAAUUUGAUAUACAAAGUUGUUGAUUGAAUUGUCGAUGUUGUUGGAUGACUUAAACUUGAUGGAAUUUCUGUUUUUAUGUUGUAGUUAUGAUAGUCGAGUCGUUUGGGAGAAAAUGGGAGUUUCGUGUGAAAAUUCAAUUGUUAACCAUUUUGGAAAAUGAGUGUUUGUGUGAGGUUUGUAAAAUGAAUUUGGGGUUGUUAAAACUUGAAUUUUUUUAUGCAUUAUGAUAGGUCUAAGUGUCAGGAACAAGUAGGUGAAAACGGCAUCGAAAACAGUUUAACGGUUUGAUUUUUAUGUGCGAAAACGUGAAGGUUGAAAAUUUGAUGUUAUCUGUCAAACAAUGAUCGUGCCAUGAUUCAGGGCCAACGUGCCACGAUUUUGAUUAGGAUUUCAGCUUGUCUGAUUCUGGAAAAAUCGUGCCACGAUGGGAGACCAACGUGCCACGAUGCUGUUAGACAAAAAACCUUAAAAAUGCAAUUUUCUUCGCUCAAAUUGUUUCCAAACUUCUUCCUAAGUGUAGAGACUUUAUCUUAACCAUCUAGGGAUAUUUUUGUGAAAGAAAUAGCUUUGUAAUAAGGGCUUAGUGAGUCCUUGUGUUUUCUUGACUUUAAUGAAGCAUUUAUGAUACGAAUCUUUGCAAAACUUGAAAUUAAGUGAGUUGGCCUAUGAGACGUUGAUGUAUACACUACUGCACUCAUAUGUGACUUGUGUAUAUACAUGGUCGAGGUCCUAGAGUUUAUGUACUUAGUUUUGGUUCAAUUGUCUCAUUGUUUUAAAGUUGUAAAAGGAGAGACGGACUUAUCGGAAAAUGUUCCUUUAAGCCAAUUAUCUUAUAAUCUUUCGUGACUAGCUUUAUGUGACUAAAAUGAAGAUGUGUGAUGAAUUGUUAGAUGUUGGAUAUGAUAUUUAUCAUAAUAUGAUGUAUUUUCUCUUUGAAGUGGAAGAAAUAGUCACAAGAAAGGGGGGGUUUGAAUUGUGACCCUUUUUAAAUUUAAUCCUGAAACUUAACAACUUUAUAUACUCAAGAAAAUUCUUGGUAAAUGUUAGAUAAAAGAAGAUUAUGAAAUAUUUAGAUAUUUAAACAGUUGUUUUAUCAAGGACCAGAAUGUUCUGGAUAAUAAUUAUAUAAUUAAUAAGGAGACUGAAAUAAUAAAACAAUAUUAAUGAUUACCAAGGACCAGAGAACUCUGGAAGAAUAUAAAUAUUAAGAAGUUAUAUUAGGACCAGAAUGUUCUGGAUAACAGUUAUAAGAUGAAUGAUAAAAUAAUAUUAUGGUUAAUCAAGGACCAGAGAACUCUGGAUUAAUUUGAUUGUGAUUAAUUAGGACCAGAACAUUCUGGAGAUAAAUAAAUAUUAAUGCCUGUGAUAGUGUGUGAAUAUCGUGUACAAAUAAAAGAUAGAGAGAGAGGGAGAGAAAGAAUAAUAACACAGGAGAGUUAUCUUGGUUCACCAAACCCGACUACUUCCAGUCCCCACACUUCGUGUGAGAUUAUCCACUAUAGUAUACAGUUGGUAGAAACUUCUAACCAACACUAUUAGGUCUUGAUCACACCAGAUCAGUCCGUAACCCUUGUAUUAUCAACCUCAGCAAGCUUCUACAAUUCUUUGCUUUCGCACAAGAAAGGUUGGAACUCUUCCUAUCUCAAACUAUUAAUCCCAGUAGACUUGAGAUCUAGUUAUCUCUUUGUAAGAUGAUUGUUUGGAUCUAAGUCUCAAACGAAAAUAAGAAAGAUGUUGUUUGGAUCUAGCGUCUCAAACAAAAGAUGUGUAGGAUGUUGUUUGGAUCUUUAUAUGUCAAACAAACUAUCCUUGUACAAAUACAAACUCAGAAAGAUGUUCUCAAUGAGAGAUAAAGAUGAUAAAUAUAGUGAAAGAUUAUGGAGUUUGCUUUGUGAUUGUCGAAAGAGAUGUUGAAGAGAUUGAUUUCUUUAGCUUUGAGAGAAAGAGAUAUCAAAGCUUUUGUAAAUCAAAACUCUUGCUUUUCUCCUUCAAUGACCUCUUCUAUUUAUAGAGCUGGAAUCCCUUAGAAAUCAAGCUAAAAAAGAGCUGUUGUGCUUCCAAUUUGAAUUCGAAUUUUGGCUCCAAGGAGACUUGGGAAGAAAGCAUGUAGAGAAUGUUUCUUCAGUUUUGCCCAGAACAUUCUCUCAGUCACAACCAAACUUGAACGAAAUUGUAGAUCAUGUGCUUGCUAGUUGGUGAUGAGCUGUGAUCAAGCCUUUUGUAACUUGCUGCCCACUUGAUGAUUUUUGCUGAUAUCAUCUUGAUGAUGUCAUGUAGCUUAGAGAUAGAUAUUGAUCCUUUAGAUAUUCCUUUUCCUCAAAAUUCCUUAAUGGAUCGAAAAAGCCACAUGAGGGCCCAAAGAUGAUUUUAUUCUUUUUGCUUCCAACACAUGUGCAAGAAUAUAAUUUAUUUCCUUUGUUUCGUUGUCCUUUAACGCAUUUCCAAGAACCAUGAUUUCUUUCCUCUUUAAGUGAGACAAACGAGAAUAUUUGCAUAUCUUGACAAUUGCCCAAAAAGCUCAUAUUUUUUCAUAUUCAUAUUCAAUAAAGAUUUUGUUAUCCCUUGUGAGGCCAGAAUGUUCUCGAGAACAUUCUCACUGAAACAUUAUCACAAAACACAUUAGUAGAUAACAAGAUAAUAAAUGUAAAUAUGUGUUAAUAAAAAACAUAAAGUGAGGAUGUUCUCUUCACUUUGUAUGACCAGAAUGUUCUUUGUAAGAACAUGAGAAUCUUUUCUCAAAGUAAAAAUUCCUUUGAUUGAUUUCUAUUCUCGCGAAUCAUAUCUUAAAAAAUGAUGGAAGAUUCUUGGUUCAUCCUAUGUUUAUUAUGAUAGAAUCUUCAUGCAUAUGAUCAUGAAUUUUCUUCCUUGAUAAUUCUCCAAUUAAUGAAUAAUUCAUUCAUCGGUUGGUUUCUCUUCAAAGUUGAUUCGAAUUAUUUCGAUGAAGUAAUGAGAAUAAUUUCGAGUGUAAUAAUCAUCUUCACCAUGAGAACAUUCUUUUCAUCAAAGUUGAUAAUGUUCUCUUCUAUAGAAGAAGACAAUAUCUUCUUGGUCAAUCAACCUUGAAUUGUUUGAUGAUGCAAUUCUUCCCAUAAUUCCUCUUAGUGAUUCCACACAAUGUGUCUUGUUCAUUGAGUGUCCCGAGCUCUAUAAAUAGAACCCUAGUGCUGAAGUUUUAGGUUACUCGCGUUUUUGAGAAUCCCGAGCUCUCUGGACUUCUGAUUCCUUGGCUAGCACCGAGUUUUGGAGGAACACUGUUCGUGUGGACUUGCUAGAGGCUUUGCUGCUUGCUGCUUGCUUUGCUGUGAUCGUGAUUCCGGUUUCCAGAUUCCACCUUUCAGUUUUCAGAAUUAACACUUCGAGGUAACAAUCGAAUCACUGAUUCAUGUGUAAUUCGUAAUGAUCCAAGGAAAGAAAAUCGAAAUAAUUUUCCCCUGCUUAUUCUGUUUAAGAUCGAUUUUCCUUCAUAAAGUAGGUUUGAUUGAAAUGUGUUUGGUUAGAGUUUAGGAAUUGUUAGAAAUUGUGUUGAACUCUAGGUGUUUGAUAAAAUGUCUCAAUGAAAAUUUGUUUAUUUGUUUUAGUGUUAAUGAUGAAAUUAGUUAGAAAUUGGUUUGUUAAUGUUGAUUAUAGUUAGUUUGACUGCAAUGUGGUAGUUUACGGACUGAAUUGACACUGCGGAAAUUUAAGUGUUGUUGUUGAACAGUUAGAAAUGACACAAUGUCCCUAUGAAAAAAUUCAUUGAUUUGUUGCCUUUUGAAAUGUUGUGUAGAUAUGUCUCAGAGGCUUGACAAAGUUAGAGCAGGGAGGGAGUCCACUACAGGUAGUGCAUGGGCCGAAAAGGUUGCACAAUGCCCUCCUCAUGCUUAGGCUCGUAAACGGAGUCAAUGGGUGUAACGCCCUACUUCUAUUAAAGCGAUAAAACACGCGAAUAAUAAAUAUAUUCAAAAAAUAGACGUUACGUCAUCAUACAAAAUUCAAAUUCACAUGCAUGUAUAAAAUCUCAACAGUCGUAGCGGAUAUAUAUACCAUAUAAUUCAACAUAUACAUGCCAUGAUAUCGAAAAUGCAUCAUAAAUGAAUCUUCAAAAUGCUUUGGAUACUCUUCUGAUACGUAUCAGGAAGUAUAUCGGGCAGGUAUCGGUGCAGGAUGGAUACGAUAUGUUAUAAAUUUUGAAGUAUCGGGGCUUCACAGAAAGAAAAAAAAGUAAUGUUUUUUUAUUAAGGGACCUAUCUUUACAAUUAAAGCUGAGCCUUUAAUUUUGUAGGAACGGCCCUGAUAGGAACCCCAAAUCUAAGUCAUUUUCGAGUUCAUCAGUUCGAUCAACAAAAUCGAGGAGUAUGGUCCUAAACUUGUUUCUCACAAUCACAAUAAUCAUUUGAUCGGUAAAAAUUGUAAUUCGAUUUUUAUCUAAACUCUUAUAAAACAAAAUUUUCUUAUUUUAGUUGAAACCUGAACAAUGACAAAUGACUCUCCCGUUUAUCUACUCCUAUUACUCCACUAGUUAUUUUAUUUAUCGAGUUUAUCUCUCUUCAAAUGGAAGUGUCCAAUUAAAUGGAGAAGCUUCGGGUUUCUCACUGUUAAUCAUCGCCUCCACAGAUGAAACAUGGUUUCAAGUGACGACCUCUCAAGAUAAAGGUUUAUAACGUGACUGCAGCUACAAUAGUCAACAGAUGAAAUUGUUCCACUACAUGUGAUCAGAUGUAGCAGACUUGGUGAGAGGGAUCAGAUGCAUUGCAAAUUUUUAUAUUGUCAGUAUAAACUUGUGAUACUGAUAGAAUGUGAAGACAAAUCAUGAUGAUAAUAUAAUAUCUACUUUAUUUGAUUUACUUAUUUUAUUAGGCAACAUCAGCAUGUAAAAUAAAAGCUUUAAUACAAAGACAUGGGUUCUGGUAGUAGGUGAAUAAUUGUCUGAAAUAUCAUAUUUUAUAUAGCCGGCCUAACCCUAUCUAAAGGUCCCUAACCAAGGGAAACAUUUGUUUCCAAAUGAUUCCGGAUUAGGACAAUAAACACAGUUGGAAUAGGGAUAUUGCAUAUUAUAUGCAUGUGUCGGGGUUCAAAUUCCGGACACUCAACUUCUCCAUAUUUAAAAUGUGUGAGCUCUCACCAGUUGCCUACUUGACCCAAUAAAAAAAAAGGUCUCCUAUGCUGAAAGGCGAUCACUUUGGAAUCCUCUCUUUUGCUUUAUUGUUUUCUUUUCUUUAUAUCAAUUAACCAUUGGUGUGUUUUUUUCUGUAGUUUGUCAAUGCUUUUCUCAAUACUUCAAUUAUUCAUUCACAACAUAACCCUGUAUUUUUCUUCAGCCUUAUCUCUUUACCAUACACACUGCCAACUAUCCCAAUUCUAAAUCUUCAUAGUUCUAAAAUUCAUUCAAGAUUUAGUUACAACAUCAUUCCUUGCUGCUUUUACUUUAACAAUAGAAGAUGGCUGCAACUUUGGUGGGAGGGGCUUUUCUCUCUGCUACUGUUCAGACUUUAGUUGAGAAACUUGCUUCACAAGAGUUUUGUGAUUACAUCAGAAACACCAAGCUGAAUUCCUCACUGUUGGCAGAGUUGGAAACAACACUGCUCGCUCUUCAGGCGGUGCUGGAUGAUGCAGAACAGAAGCAAAUCACCAACACUGCUGUCAAACAAUGGUUGGAUCAGCUGAAAGAUGCAAUCUAUGAUGCUGAGGAUUUGCUUAACCAAAUCAAUUACGACUCCCUGCGAUGUAAGGUGGAGAAGAAACAAGCUGAAAACAUGACUAAUCAGGUUUGGAACCUCUUUUCGUCUCCUUUUAAAAAUCUCUAUGGAGAGAUCAAUUCACAAAUGAAGAUUAUGUGUCAAAGGCUGCAACUUUUUGCACAACAGAGAGAUAUUCUUGGCUUGCAAACUGUGAGCGCGAGAGUUUCUCUUAGAACGCCUUCAAGUUCAAUGGUAAAUGAAUCUGUUAUGGUUGGUAGGAAGGAUGAUAAAGAGAGACUCAUUAGUAUGUUGAUAUCUGACAGUGGCACUACCAAUAGUAGUGUUGGUGUGGUUGCAAUUUUGGGUAUGGGCGGUGUUGGCAAAACCACUCUUGCCCAACUUCUUUAUAAUGAUAAAGAAGUUCAAGACCAUUUUGAUCUGAAAGUCUGGGUUUGUGUAUCGGAGGAUUUCGAUAUUCUGAGAGUAACUAAAACCAUUCAUGAAUCUGUCACUUCAAGAGGUGGUGAAAACAAUAAUCUUGAUUUUCUUCGAGUUGAAUUGAAUAAAAACUUGAGGGAUAAAAGAUUUUUGUUAGUGUUGGAUGACCUGUGGAAUGACAAUUAUAAUGAUUGGGAUGAGUUAGUAACUCCACUGAUUAACGGCAAAAAAGGAAGUAGGGUGAUCAUCACAACACGCCAACAAAAAGUUGCGGAGGUUGCACACACGUUUCCUAUUCACAAAGUAGAUCCUCUAUCAGAUGAUGACUGUUGGUCGUUACUUUCAAAGCAUGCAUUCGGAAGUGAAGACCGUCGAGGUAGAAAGUACCCAAAUCUAGAAGAAAUUGGUAGAAAGAUUGCCAAAAAGUGUGGUGGAUUGCCCAUAGCUGCUAAAACACUCGGAGGAAUUUUGCGUUCAAAGGUAGAUGCAAAAGAGUGGACUGCAAUUCUAAAUAGUGACAUAUGGAACUUACCAAAUGAUACAAUUUUACCUGCUUUGCGUCUAAGUUAUCAAUAUCUUCCCUCACAUUUGAAAAGAUGUUUUGCCUAUUGCUCAAUUUUUCCGAAGGAUUUUCCACUUGACAAGAAGGAAUUGAUUUUGUUAUGGAUGGCAGAAGGCUUCCUAGAGCAUUCUCAACG
rnacentral:lncRNA from 1 species